rnacentral:rRNA from 1 species
GAUGAACGCUGGCGGCAUGCUUAAUACAUGCAAGUCGAGCGGGCAGACGAGGAGCUUGCUGCUCUGACGUUGGCGGCGGCCGGGGGAGUUGCCCGUGGAUAAGCUAUAUAUAAGACUGGGUUGACCUCGUGCCGCCGGCGCUAUUACCGGAUAAUAUUUUGAACCGCAUGGUGCAAUAGUGCAAGACGGUUUUGCUGUGACUUAUAGAUGCAUCCACGCCGCAUUAACUAGUUGGUAAGGUAACGGCUUACCAAGGCAACGAUGCGUAGCAGACCUGAGAGGGAGAUCGGCCACACUGGAACUGAGACACGGUCCAGACUCCUACACUAAGCAGCAGUAGGGAAUCUUCCGCAAAGGGCAAAAGCCUAACGGUGCAACACCGCGUGAGGCAUGAAGGUCCCCGGAUCGUAAAACGCUGUUAGUAUGAAAGAACAAAUGUGUAAUUAACUGUGCACAUCAUGACGGUACCUAAUCAGAAAGCCACGGCUAACUACGUG